rnacentral:rRNA from 1 species
UACGUAGGGUGCGAGCGUUAAUCGGAAUUACUGGGCGUAAAGCGUGCGCAGGCGGCGCGUUUAAGACAGGUGUGAAAGCCCCGAGCUUAACUUGGAAUUGCGCUUGUGACUGGCGUGCUGGAGUGUGGCAGAGGGAGGUGGAAUUCCACGUGUAGCAGUGAAAUGCGUAGAGAUGUGGAGGAACACCGAUGGCGAAGGCAGCCUCCUGGGCCAGCACUGACGCUCAUGCACGAAAGCGUGGGGAGCAAACAGG